rnacentral:rRNA from 1 species
GACGAACGCUGGCGGCGUGCCUAACACAUGCAAGUCGAACGGACUUGACGGAAGCUUGCUUUUGUCAAGUUAGUGGCGGACGGGCGAGUAACGCGUGAGCAACCUGCCCUUCAGUGGGGAAUAACGACCGGAAACAGUCGCUAAUACCGCAUAACGUAUUCUGGUGGCAUCAUCGGGAUACCAAAGGAGCAAUUCGCUGAAGGAUGGGCUCGCGUCCGAUUAGCUAGUUGGUGAGGUAACGGCCCACCAAGGCGACGAUCGGUAGCCGAACUGAGAGGUUGAUCGGCCGCAUUGGGACUGAGACACGGCCCAGACUCCUACGGGAGGCAGCAGUGGGGGAAUAUUGCACAAUGGGGGGAACCCUGAUGCAGCAACGCCACGUGUGGGAAGAAGCAUUUCGGUGUGUAAACCACUGUCGGAAGGGAAUAAUAAUGACGGUACCUCUUGAAUAAGCCACGGCUAACUACGUG